rnacentral:miRNA from 1 species
CAGGGAGGUGAAUGUGAU